rnacentral:rRNA from 1 species
UAACACGUCGGAACGUAUCCUGUUGUGGGGGAUAACUAGUCGAAAGAUUAGCUAAUACCGCAUGACCUCGGAAGAGAAAAGCAGGGGAUCGCAAGACCUUGCGCGAUUGGAGCGGCCGAUGUCCGAUUAGCUAGUUGGUGGGGUAAAGGCCUACCAAGGCGACGAUCGGUAGCUGGUCUGAGAGGAUGAUCAGCCACACUGGGACUGAGAUACGGCCCAG